rnacentral:misc_RNA from 1 species
GAACUCAACAAGCCAGUUUCGACCGCUUUUCAACUCAUCAAUAAGACUGAUAAUCAUGUUGCUUUCAAGGUAAAGACGACCAAUCCCAGAAAGUAUACUGUUAGGCCGAACAGUGGAAUUGUUCUCCCACGAUCAAGGUCCAAUGUUACAGUUACGAUGCAACCUCAAAUGGAGUUACCUCCAGGUAUGCAAUGCAAAGACAAGUUUCUUGUACAGAGUGUGAUUGUGGACCCUGGGUCUACAGCAAAAGAUAUUAACCCAGACAUGUUCAACAAGUCCGGGGUAAAUGAUGUUGAGGAAUGCAAACUAAAAGUUAUUUAUGUCUCACCACCGCGAAAACCAUCACCAGUCCCUGAAGAUUCUGAGGAAGGAACUUCACCAACAGCUUCUGACAGUGAUUUACAAGAAGACAGUGAGCCUCAGGACAACUCCAUUAAGGCCAGAGAUCUCAUUUUGAGGUUGAUGGAAGAGAGAGACUCCAUUCUUCGAGAAAAUGCUAAACUCAGCCGAGACCUGGAGCUUCUGAGGCAUGGACGUCAUGAACGUCGUACUGGAGUUCGACUUUUGUACAUCUUGCUGGUUGGCUUGGGUAGUAUUCUUUUGGGGUUCAUUGUCAGAAAAGUUUGAUGACCUCACAGCUCGAGAUUAUACUCUCGCUUUCUGGUUGCUGUGGACAGGUGUGAG